rnacentral:misc_RNA from 1 species
GAUGAAGAACGUAGCGAAAUGCGAUAAGUAAUGUGAAUUGCAGAAUUCAGUGAAUCAUCGAAUCUUUGAACGCUCAUUGCGCCCGCCAGUAUUCUGGCGGGCAUGCCUGUUCGAGCGUCAUUUCAACCAUCAAGCCCCCGGCUUGUGUUGGGGACCUGCGGCUGCCGCAGGCCCUGAAAUGCAGUGGCGGGCUCGCUGUCACUCCGAGCGUAGUAGUUACAUCUCGCUCUGGGCGUGCUGCGGGUUCCGGCCGUUAAAAGCCUUAUUUACCCAAGGUUGACCUCGGAUCAGGUAGGAAGACCCGCUGAACUUAAGCAUAUCAAUAAGCGGAGGA